CUGGUGACAUGCCAUUAGCUGCUGAUGAUUAACACCGUGCCCUUUUGACUACGAGCGCGCUCCGGCACUAACACUUCCCUAUCAGGGAGCUUAAGGCAGAUAUAUCUACAGAUGCUGGAGAAAAUGGAAUUGGGUGGAGUGCUGAAAGACCUGCAAUUCAACUUGGAGUGACGAGGAAGCAAUGUGUGCGGGAGAACUAUGGUGGCCAACAUGAAGACGCGCAAAUGUGAAUGGUCCUAUCCAGAGCCAGUGUUUGGUUUGUCUCUUCAGGGCUACUGUAGGACAACAUGGCAGACUGCUGCAAGGAUGACGGAAAUAACAUCGCCCUGGUUCCCUCAAGAAAAAGUCAAUGGGAUUUUUCCAUCGGAUUUUGGAUUACCGCAGUUAUAAGUUCUGUGGCAAACAAAUGUUCACGAUACUUAGGUUUUGUUUAGCAUGAUAAUCUUCACAACUGAACACCACUUUUCUAUUUUUUUAAAAGCUUAAAUGCAAUCGCCUGAAGUAAAAGCAAACAAACUACACUACAAUCGUAUGACGUAACACCACAACAAGGCUGUAAAGCCUUGUGAUGAUGUUCUGUAGUCUCAUUUAGCCACUUCUUAGAAACCAUCCUUUUUAAGACACAUAAAGGCUUCAACAUUGUCAAGUGGGGUAUUUAUUGACGUGUCUUAUGUCAUAGAA